rnacentral:rRNA from 1 species
UGAUGCAGCAACGCCGCGUGAGGGACGACGGCCUUCGGGUUGUAAACCUCUUUUAGUAGGGAAGAAGCGAAAGUGACGGUACCUGCAGAAAAAGCACCGGCUAACUACGUGCCAGCAGCCGCGGUAAUACGUAGGGUGCAAGCGUUGUCCGGAAUUAUUGGGCGUAAAGAGCUCGUAGGCGGUUUGUCGCGUCUGCUGUGAAAACCCGAGGCUCAACCUCGGGCCUGCAGUGGGUACGGGCAGACUAGAGUGCGGUAGGGGAGAAUGGAAUUCCUGGUGUAGCGGUGGAAUGCGCAGAUAUCAGGAGGAACACCGAUGGCGAAGGCAGUUCUCUGGGCCGUAACUGACGCUGAGGAGCGAAAGCGUGGGGAGCGAACAGGAUUAGAUACCCUGGUAGUCCACGCCGUAAACGUUGGGCGCUAGAUGUGGGGACCAUUCCACGGUUUCCGUGUCGCAGCUAACGCAUUAAGCGCCCCGCCUGGGGAGUACGGCCGCAAGGCUAAAACUCAAAGGAAUUGACGGGGGCCCGCACAAGCGGCGGAGCAUGCGGAUUAAUUCGAUGCAACGCGAAGAACCUUACCAAGGCUUGACAUAUACGAGAACGGGCCAGAAAUGGUCAACUCUUUGGACACUCGUAAACAGGUGGUGCAUGGUUGUCGUCAGCUCGUGUCGUGAGAUGUUGGGUUAAGUCCCGCAACGAGCGCAACCCUCGUUCUAUGUUGCCAGCACGUUAUGGUGGGAACUCAUAGGAGACUGCCGGGGUCAACUCGGAGGAAGGUGGGGAUGACGUCAAAUCAUCAUGCCCCUUAUGUCUUGGGCUUCACGCAUGCUACAAUGGCCGGUACAAAGGGCUGCAAUACCGUAAGGUGGAGCGAAUCCCAAAAAGCCGGUCUCAGUUCGGAUUGAGGUCUGCAACUCGACCUCAUGAAGUCGGAGUCGCUAGUAAUCGCAGAUCAGCAACGCUGCGGUGAAUACGUUCCCGGGCCUUGUACACACCGCCCGUCAAGUCAUGAAAGUCGGUAACACCCGAAGCCGGUGGCCUAACC